GGCGGACGGGUGAGUAACACGUGGGAACGUGCCUUUAGGUUCGGAAUAGCUCCUGGAAACGGGUGGUAAUGCCGAAUGUGCCCUUCGGGGGAAAGAUUUAUCGCCUUUAGAGCGGCCCGCGUCUGAUUAGCUAGUUGGUGAGGUAACGGCUCACCAAGGCGACGAUCAGUAGCUGGUCUGAGAGGAUGACCAGCCACACUGGGACUGAGACACGGCCCAGACUCCUACGGGAGGCAGCAGUGGGGAAUCUUGCGCAAUGGGCGAAAGCCUGACGCAGCCAUGCCGCGUGAAUGAUGAAGGUCUUAGGAUUGUAAAAUUCUUUCACCGGGGACGAUAAUGACGGUACCCGGAGAAGAAGCCCCGGCUAACUUCGUGCCAGCAGCCGCGGUAAUACGAAGGGGGCUAGCGUUGCUCGGAAUUACUGGGCGUAAAGGGCGCGUAGGCGGAUCGUUAAGUCAGAGGUGAAAUCCCAGGGCUCAACCCUGGAACUGCCUUUGAUACUGGCGAUCUUGAGUAUGAGAGAGGUAUGUGGAACUCCGAGUGUAGAGGUGAAAUUCGUAGAUAUUCGGAAGAACACCAGUGGCGAAGGCGACAUACUGGCUCAUUACUGACGCUGAGGCGCGAAAGCGUG
rnacentral:rRNA from 1 species